AGGCAGUCGUCAGCACUAAAAAAGUGAUAACAACACGAACCCCAGUAAAAAAAACAAAAAAACAUUAGAGACCGGGCUCUGUAUUUGUAUUGGCUGAGAAGGAAGUGUGCGUCAGCUUGUUGUCAUUGCGUGGAGAGGGAUAAGGAGCGGACAUACACAGGUCCCUCUCACUGUCACGAUGCGGAGCAUCCAGGAGAGUCUGUGGGUCCUACCUCUGCUACUACUGGGGCUGUUACAGCACUGGGCUGCAGGCAACUCAUUCAGUCAGGUGUGUGACCCAUCAAAAGAUGGCACCAUCUACAACUAUAAUGCUAAGACCCUGAAUGGGAGUCGUUCAGUCUCCCUCAGUGAGUACAUGGGGAAGACCGUCCUCUUCGUUAACGUAGCCUCUUACUGAGGACUCACCUUCCAGUACCUGGAGUUGAAUGCACUACACAAGGAGAUGAAGGAUUAUGGGUUCACCAUUCUCGGGUUCCCCUCCAAUCAGUUUGGAAAGCAGGAGCCAGGAGACAAUCAUGAGAUUCUGGCCUCUCUAAAGCAUGUCCGACCAGGAAAUGGAUUCGUUCCAAACUUCCUGCUAUUCCAGAGGGGGGAUGUGAAUGGAGACACAGAACAAGGAGUCUACACUUUCCUCAAAAACUCCUGCCCGCCGGUAGGGGACACCUUUGGGAACCCCACCAACAGGCUGUUCUGGGAGCCCCUGAAUAUGAACGACAUUAAGUGGAACUUUGAGAAGUUCCUGGUCGGACCGGACGGAAAGCCCGUGAUGAGGUGGUUCCCCCGGGUCACAGUGUCUGAGGUUCGGGUGGACAUCAUCAAAUACUUCAAUCAGCUCUUCUCCCAGUCCACCCAGCAGAACAUUGACUAAGAUUUUACUGUGGUUAUGUCCCAAAUGGCACAGUAUUCCCUAUGUAGUCCAUUACUGGAAAUUCAUUAUAUAAGGAAUAGGGUGUCAUUUGCGACUCAGCCUGUGCUGUCAUCAGGGCUGGGGUCAAUUCUAUUUCAGUUGAGUAAAUUCCUGAAUUGAAAUGGAAUUCAUUCCAUCCCCGAUAGGCUGGAUUAGAUUUUUUUUAAAUGGAUUUAUUAGAGAUCGCCCCUUUAGAUACAUGAAAUCACAGGGGAACGGUUUCCAGGAUUCAGAUUAAACUUCUUUCUGGACUAAAAAGCACUUUCAAAUGGAAAUCCUCCAAUGACUAUGCUUCAAAUUUUACUUCAGGAGUAGGCUUAAUCUGGGUCAGGAAAACCAAAAUGGUCCUACAACACUUUUCCCCAUCCUUUUCAACCCCCCCCCCUCCCCUUGUAAAAAAAAACAGACAGACCAUAAGUAGAGUAGAAGGUCUAGAAAUCAGUCGAUGGUGGUACUGGGUUGUAGGUCAUUGAGGUGGCAUGUUGUAUGAAGGCGAGGCUUGAAAACAGUGAUUCUGUGGUGCCAAGCCUGAGUUCUAGGGUCCAGGCCAGUCCUUCAGUGCAUUCAGGCUGGGCCUGGUAACCCAAGGAGCCAUGCUACCUCCUCGUCCUACCACCCAGACCAGACACCUGGUUACCCACUGCUGCUGCCUGACUAAUUCAUGUCAAUAAAUCACAUCAAUGCAA